rnacentral:rRNA from 1 species
GACAGAGGGGGCAAGCGUUGCUCGGAAUCACUGGGCGUAAAGGGCGCGUAGGCGGGAUGGCAAGUCAGUCGUGAAAUCUCUCGGCUCAACCGAGAAACGUCGGCUGAUACUGCCGUUCUUGAGGGAUGCAGAGGAGACUGGAAUUCCCGGUGUAGCGGUGAAAUGUGUAGAGAUCGGGAGGAACACCGGUGGCGAAGGCGGGUCUCUGGGCAUCUCCUGACGCUGAGGCGCGAAAGCGUGGGAGCAAACGGG